rnacentral:rRNA from 1 species
GAUGAACGCUGGCGGCGUGCCUAAUACAUGCAAGUCGAGCGAACAGACGAGAGUGCUUGCACUCUCUGACGUUAGCGGCGGACGGGUGAGUAACACGUGGGUAACCUACCUAUAAGACUGGGAUAACUUCGGGAAACCGGAGCUAAUACCGGAUAAUAUUUAGCUUCGCAUGAAGCAAUAGUGAAAGACGGUUCUGCUGUCACUUGUAGAUGGACCCGCGGUGUAUUAGCUAGUUGGUGAGGUAACGGCUCACCAAGGCAACGAUACAUAGCCGACCUGAGAGGGUGAUCGGACACACUGGGACUGAGACACGGCCCAGACUCCUACGGGAGGCAGCAGUAGGGAAUCUUCCGCAAUGGACGAAAGUCUGACGGAGCAAUGCCGCGUGAGUGAAGAAGGUUUUCGGAUCGUAAAACUCUGUUGUAAGGGAAGAACAAGUACGUUAGUAACUGAACGUACCUUGACGGUACCUUACCAGAAAGCCACGGCUAACUACGUG